GACGAACGCUGGCGGCGUGCCUAAUACAUGCAAGUUGAGCGAAGAGGGGAGGUGCUUGUACCAACUAGGUGAGCGGCGGACGGGUGAGUAACGCGUGGAGAACCUACCUAUAAGACGGGGACAACAUCGGGAAACGGGUGCUAAUACCGCAUAAAAAAUUGAAACACAAGGUUUAAGAGUGAAAGAUGGAAUUGCAGCACCCAAAGAUGAUCUCGCGGUGUAUUAGGUAGUUGGUUAAGGAAAGGCUCUACAAGGCGAUGGUAGAUAGGCCGACCGGGAGGGUGAUCCGCCCCCUUGGGAAUGGGACACCGCUCAAACCCCCACGGGAGGGAGCAGUAAGGAAUCCUCGGCAAAUGGCGAAAGUCUGACCGGGGCACCCCGCGUGAGGUAAUAAAGGUUUCGGAUCGUAAAAACUCUUUGAUAGGGGAGAACCAAGGGGGGAAGGGAAUGCGCACCACUUGACGGUACCUAAUCAGAAAGCCACGGCUAACUACGUG
rnacentral:rRNA from 1 species